rnacentral:misc_RNA from 1 species
CCAAUAGCGUAUAUUAAAGUUGUUGUGGUUAAAAAGCUCGUAGUUGAACCUUGGGCCUGGCUGGCCGGUCCGCCUCACCGCGUGUACUGGUCCGGCCGGGCCUUUCCCUCUGUGGAACCUCAUGCCCUUCACUGGGUGUGACGGGGAAGCAGGACUUUUACUGUGAAAAAAUUAGAGUGCUCCAAGCAGGCCUAUGCUCGAAUACAUUAGCAUGGAAUAAUAAAAUAGGACGUGCGGUUCUAUUUUGUUGGUUUCUAGGACCGCCGUAAUGAUUAAUAGGGACAGUCGGGGGCAUCAGUAUUCAAUUGUCAGAGGUGAAAUUCUUGGAUUUAUUGAAGACUAACUACUGCGAAAGCAUUUGCCAAGGAUGUUUUCAUUAAUCAGGAACGAAAGUUAGGGGAUCGAAGACGAUCAGAUACCGCCCUAGUUCUGACCAUAAACGAUGCCAACCAGUAAUUCGCCUGAGUUCCUUAAAUGACUCGGCGAGGGACUUCCG